UGCUGCGCCGGCAGGAGCGAGGCACGCAAGGCGUCUGCUUGAGAGAGCAUGCGAGGCUUUAAAUGUCUUCAUCACGCACGGAGUUAAUAACGGCAGUCAAGUGAGGCCUUUUGAAAGAUGGGAACACUUAGGGUGGAAUUAGUCUCGACAUCUCUGGAGUAAUGACAGUGCCUGAUGGAUCGCUGGAUGGAGCGGAUAGUCCGAAAACCUUGAAAUGUAGCGCUGGGCAAGUCUAAACAGAGUCACUCUGUGGUUGUUUCUGGCUCUUUCCCUGAUCCUCGGCUGUAGAUAAAGUUGAAAAAUAUCCAGCUGAUAUUUUCGGUGUCCUCUGAUAAAUUUGCUGUCCUAGGCAACCACCUGGUCUCUCCCUGUGUGUAAAUCUGUGCCAAACUGCGUGGACUGAGAUCCCUCCCCUGCCAGAGCAAACUGAGAGAGCUGCCCCCUUCCCUUCCUUGAGCUGGAGUAAUGGUCCGCAAGAUUUCCAGGUGUUUCACAGGUAUUAAAUGAAGUUUCACUGAGAUGUAGGCAGUGUUCAUUGCUGGGAAGGCUGAGCAGCCUGUCUGGGGGAAGGAUACUUGGGUAAGGCUGUUAACUGUGGCCAUUUGUCAGAGUCGCUUGAAGAGGAUAAUCCUUAAAAAGAAACUGAGAGCCCACCUUCUUUCGAAAAGAGGUGUUUUCACAUUUUUUCAUGGAUGUUUUCGCUACUCUUGCUCUGUCACCUCAAAUCUGGAGCCCGUGUGCUCACUUUGUUUUUCCUCCUGCAUCCGUGGCAGGAGGGGGUUGCAGACCCUGUCCUGGCUGGUGGAGCUCUCUGCAAGAAGGAAAGGGCUGCAGGGGAAGCCUGCAAGGACCGUGGCCUGGCUGGGGACUGGAGGAGAGCUCAUAAACGAAGCUUCCUCUCAGGAGGUUUUUGUGCUUGUGGGAAACCACACACCUUGAGCCCUGGCUGGGCUGAGUCUCACAGUAAAUGCACAUCAGACAGCUGCUCUGUGUGAGAUGCUGUGUGUGAAACCUUCCUGUCCUCCCGUGGCAUCAUCCCAGCAGGGCUGGUGUGCAGCCUGAGGCUGAGUUUCUGCCUUGCCUCCUCUGCUCCUUUAUUUAUUUAAGUAUCUGAGAAGGAUUAGGCUGUGCCAUGUACAGGUGAGGAGUUCCAGAGCAUUUCUGAGUGCUGGCAGGAGAGAGCCUUUAAAGUGCAAUGUGAACAGCUGCUUGGGAAAGGAGAUGUAAAAAAAAAGUCCUCCCAGAGAGCCAAAUGUAACCACAUCCAAGAUGUUCCUCGGAGAAGAAGUCAUCUGUAUGCAAUGAAUGCCACAGUCAACAUGCACAUUUGGGUUUUUUUAUGUAUCACAUACAGAAAAUAAAUGACGUGCCAGAAAUAGACUCAAGUUUAAAUGUCUGUACGGUUUGUAUUCUACAAUAUUUGGUGAAUCUUGUUUUUCUCUGUUUUUGUGAUUCCAAAUAUG
rnacentral:lncRNA from 12 species